rnacentral:lncRNA from 1 species
AAUGUCUGUCAUGUUUUAUUAACCAUUAGAAAUUAUUUGAAAAAACUUAUUUCACUUUAAUGGUAAAAAGACACACACUGGAGCUGAUCAUGGAAUAUUAAUGCUUUUUGCUCUUCCAGAAAUAGUAGAAAAAUCUGCAGAAAGUUUUAAGGCAAUAUUGAAAAUAAGGAGCCUAAAUAAACACAUAACUUUAUCAACAACUAAGAUUUAGCAAAUUGGUUUUUAAAUGUUUUAGAAUAUAUCCUGGUUAAACCAGGAUGUUCUAAAUUUAGUAUCUGCACUUGCACCAAACUUGUGAUUUAAGUAAAUGGUAUUCAUUUUGGUCACAUUUUCUGCUAUACUGUCCACCUUCCCAGGAACUUCAGUCCACCAGCAGGUAAGUUUAGCUCACACAAAUAUUAAGAUAUGAGGUUGUGAAAUGAGUUAAUUCUGGUUCCUCUCAACAUACAUACCUAUCCCUUCUACUAACACCUGUUCAAUCAAAACGUGCC